CAAUUUCCCUGUUAUCUUAAUAUUCGAAUAAAGCGCACAAUGGCGAAAUGGCUUAACACAAUUGUGGCGCUUCUUAUUUUAAAUAUCUUCUCCUCGAACAUUAUAAUAAUUUUUGCUCAAACCGCAACAUCGUUAAGUAAUAAUUUAGAGCCGGAGCCAUCACUGCCAGAACCUAGAGCUUAUAUACCGAAUGAAAAUAAUUUAGAUUUUGUUUAUCACAGUCAUGAAGAAUUGACCAAAUUCUUAAGAGCCACUAGUGCUCGUUAUCCAAAUCUAACGGCCUUAUAUUCAAUUGGCAAAUCUAUCCAAGGUAAAGAUUUAUGGGUGAUGGUAGUCUCCUCAUCGCCCUAUGAACAUAUGCUGGGUAAACCGGAUGUUAAAUAUGUGGGCAACAUUCAUGGCAACGAACCGGUUGGCCGUGAACUCUUACUUCAUCUAAUACAAUAUUUAGUAACAAGCUACGAAACAGAUCAAUACGUACACUGGCUCUUGGAUAACAUGCGUAUACAUAUUCUGCCUUCUAUGAAUCCAGAUGGUUUCGCUGUUGCAAAGGAGGGCGCCUGCGAAGGUGGCCAGGGAAGAUACAAUGCUCGCGGCUUUGAUUUGAAUCGCAAUUUUCCCGAUUAUUUUAAGCAGAAUAAUAAAAGGGGUCAACCCGAAACCGAUUCAGUAAAAGAUUGGAUUUCAAAAAUACAAUUUGUCUUAAGCGGUAGCUUGCAUGGCGGCGCCUUGGUGGCGAGCUAUCCGUACGACAAUACACCAAAUGCUAGGCGGCUAAAAGGAAUUUGUAGAUCAUCAGCAUUAUGCGCCAUGUUUCAAACUUAUGCCGCGUCGCCUUCUUUGACACCGGAUGACGAUGUCUUUAAGCAUUUGUCUUUAGUUUAUGCUAAAAACCAUGCUAAAAUGUCACGGGGUGUAGCCUGUAAAUCGGCUACACCAGCUUUUGAAAAUGGUAUUACGAACGGUGCCGCCUGGUAUCCGUUGACCGGUGGCAUGCAGGAUUAUCAAUAUGUCUGGUAUGGUUGUAUGGAAGUUACUUUGGAAAUCUCAUGCUGUAAAUAUCCACCCGCUUAUGAAUUGCGUAAAUACUGGGAAGAUAAUCAAUUGUCUCUAAUCAAAUUCCUGGCUGAGGCGCAUCGCGGUGUCCAGGGUUUUGUUUUGGAUAGCAGUGGUACACCCAUAGAAAGAGCUUCAUUAAAGGUUAAGGGCCGUGAUGUCGGCUUUCAAACUACUAAAUAUGGCGAAUUUUGGCGCAUUCUAUUACCUGGUUAUUAUAAAUUGGAGAUUUUUGCUGAAGGCUUUGCGCCACGUGAAAUCGAAUUUGUCGUAGUUGAACAACAUCCCACAUUACUUAAUGUUACCUUACAACCGGCAAAGCAUUUAACUGCUACGCCCAUUUUUAGAACCACAACAAUAAGGAUAGAAACUAAACGUAUGAAAUAAAUAAAUAACCCUUUCCAAUUUGUUUAUGUGGUGAAUAGCUUGCGAACAAUUUUUAGUAAAAUUUGAUUCGAGUGUAUGACUAUAAAUAUUUACUAAACAAAUUAAAAAAAAAAAAAGAAAAGAAAAACAUAUUUCUAUUAUAUAAUUAAUUCACUUUGAAAUUUGUAAGUAUUUAACAAAUUAACCGUUUCGUCGUAUUUAACAUACAUUUUUGUAAGUGUAGUAUUUUUAUCUUUAAAAAAAAUUCGUAACAUAAUUUUCGGCUUUUUUAUUUAAUAACAAAAACGUAUUCGACAUAUAUUUUGUUAUAAAAAAAAACAAAAAAAAACAAAAAAAAAAAUCUCUUUUUAGCGUACGGACAGUGCGAUCAUACAUCAUUAUCGGCCGUUGCCAGGAUCACCGCAGCAUUAUCGUCCGCCACAUCCUCCUCCACCCAGUUAUA